GGUUUUAUUUAUGAUGAUGCUUGGUUUCACAAUUUCUGUCAUUCUGCUUAGCAGCCGCUGAUUAUAUUCUAGUUGGUAUUGGAAAGUUAAAGUCUUCCUUGAAUCCUGUCCGAGAAGCAAGUAGCUAUCACAUCGAUAGCAUCAUGGUGAAAAGUGCUUUGUGGAGGAGCGAGGUGUUGUCAUGUAGAAGGUCUGAGCUCAACUCGCUGAGAAAAUAAAAGUAACUGCUUAAGUACGAGUUUUACUACGCAUGUGCAACUCGAAGGGCUUCCGGUUGUGAAGUCCCCUGCGCAUGCACAGAAUAGUACUUCCUCAAUGGCGGCUAUAAUUUUGCACCACUACAAUAGCUCCCCGCCGAGUGCGUAGCACGAAUAAGGAAAGGAUUGUAGUAGGAGCCUGAAACAAGAUGCGGCUGUAGAUAUACAAUGAAAAAGAAACAAUUCGUUAAUACAGAGAAUGAAAAAUAAUAUUCCAGCAGCACAAGUCAAGUUCAGCUUGGUAAGUGUUGUUUGCUGUCAAAAAAAAUUUUGUGCUUACGUCACUGCAGUUCCUUUUUUACUUAUGAUUGAUGCAGUGGCACAAGAAAUGUCUGAGUGUUCAGCACUAAUAGGGAAAAAACACAGUUUGAGCCUUUUUUACAAAAGGAAUGCUGAAAAAUGCAAUAAUAUACAAUGCAGUCAAAUAUAAAUUGUCUUGGAGAGUUUCUUCGGCCAGUGCACUGUACGGCCAGACCUAGAGACACAGGGUUCACUUGUGGUAGUUCUCAACGAUGAAGGUGGAAUUUUCACAGGUGUUGGUGAUGGUGAUCAUAAAGGUGUAAGCGUUGGUUGAAAAAGGGGUAUGUCAGUAUUGUCAACAGAAGAUGUAGUUUUAUCAAAAUACGCUUUCUUCAGACGGUCAACAGACACAGUCUCUGUACGACCAUUAGCGUCUAUUUUUAAAAAUUUGGGUGUGCAAGAGAGCACACGAAAGGGUCCUUUAUAAGGAGAAAUCUCGUAAUCGAGUAACAUAGGAUACUGGAUUUGGAGGUUGUAAUUUGUCUGGUAACAACAUCGUACCAGGCAAUGCCAGUGUGGUACCAUACAAUAAUUCUGCUGCAGAAAAACCAAGGUCUGCUUUAACUACAGUCCUGCAUCCAAGUAGGACAACAGGAAGAAAUACAGUCCAUGACUGCGGAUUGGGCAAGGCGUGCAAUGCGGCCUUUAGUUGCCUAUGAAAACACUCCACCAUCCCAUUAGAAGCGGGAUGGUAGCUGGUGGUGCGUAUACGAUGCCUUCGAUGAAGGGAGUGGAAGAUAGGCAAAUUUACAAUUGUUGAAUUUUGGCGAAGUUAAAUCUAACGUUGACAAAAGAGGUUGGUCCUACGAAAUAGCAAGUAAAUCAAUUGUUGCAGGAGAGGAAAUAGAACUGACAGGGAGUCUUGUGAGAGCAUCAACAGGGAUGCUCUGCUUCCCUGGCAAAUGACUGAAAUAUAGUCCAGGUGACGGAAAACACGAGGAGAGAGUUUGUCUGUUUUAGAAGACAGAGUGCACAUUAUAUGUGCGGAAUCACUGAAAAAGAUGCGAUAAAUGGUGGAGAUGAUUCUCGUUUGUAUCACUAGCGAAUACAAUAUCAAAUCCACAAAAAAAACUUCAUCUAUAAAUCUUUGGAAAGUGCUUGUUGCAUUCUGCAGACCAAAGCUCAUAAAAAGAAAUUCAAAACAGCCAAAAGGAGUGAUGGCAGUUUUGGGAAUGUCCUCUGGAUUAACUGGAAUCUGGUGAUAAGCGCGAACCAGAUCAAUCUUGGAAAAGAUAGUGGAAUCAUGUGUGCAUAGGAGAGAGAUAGAGAGAAAAAAAAUUUUUUUUUGUAAAACAAAGAAA
rnacentral:lncRNA from 1 species